GGGGGCGCAAUGGCUUCGACGUGUUGUUGCGGACAUAUAGUGCAUGCCGAGCGUUGUCUGAGUGCUCGUUAAACAAUCAGUCAAACAAUAAGUGCAGAAAACCCUUAUGGGAACGCACAAUCAUAUAGUUCUUCUACCGCAAUUUUUGCGUAAGAAAGCCUUAUGAUUCUUGCUAGUGACACGUGCCUGUCAGUGGAUCUAGCUCGUAAUAAUUCAGAUGGGACCGCCAAGUAAGAUUUUUUAGUUUUGUAGCUUGGUUUGUAUCACUGGACUGACGGCUAUAUUUUCUUGUGUCUUUACGGGUUUAUAGACGUAAUUUUAAAGACUAAGCAUGUAGUACUCUAUGGCUAAAGUGAUGCGGACAUGGGUUCGACUCCCAUCGCCUCCACCA
rnacentral:tmRNA from 1 species